ACCAAGUUUGGAGCCAAAACAAG
rnacentral:snRNA from 1 species